UCCCUUUAACCUAUAAAGGCCUAAUGCUAGUUUUGUGGCAAUUUCCAAAUGAUUUUUUCCUCUAUAUUUAACCUUUCUUAAGUGAUUUAUCACUAUUUAUUAUAAUAUUAUCCUCUGUAUUUUUUCUAUAUAGAAUAUACUGAUCAUAAAAGCUGCACA